GGGUUGUGAGGUUAAGCGACUAAGCGUACACGGUGGAUGCCCUGGCAGUCAGAGGCGAUGAAGGACGUGCUAAUCUGCGAUAAGCGCCGGUAAGGUGAUAUGAACCGUUAUAACCGGCGAUACCCGAAUGGGGAAACCCAGUGUGAUUCGUCACACUAUCAUUAACUGAAUCCAUAGGUUAAUGAGGCGAACCGGGGGAACUGAAACAUCUAAGUACCCCGAGGAAAAGAAAUCAACCGAGAUUCCCCCAGUAGCGGCGAGCGAACGGGGAGGAGCCCAGAGCCUGAAUCAGCAUGUGUGUUAGUGGAAGCGUCUGGAAAGGCGCGCGAUACAGGGUGACAGCCCCGUACACAAAAGCGCAUGUGCUGUGAGCUCGAUGAGUAGGGCGGGACACGUGGUAUCCUGUCUGAAUAUGGGGGGACCAUCCUCCAAGGCUAAAUACUCCUGACUGACCGAUAGUGAACCAGUACCGUGAGGGAAAGGCGAAAAGAACCCCGGCGAGGGGAGUGAAAAAGAACCUGAAACCGUGUACGUACAAGCAGUGGGAGC
rnacentral:rRNA from 2 species